rnacentral:ncRNA from 1 species
UAAUUUGCGUUGAUGAGUUGAGUACGUAGUGAAAGCCCCUUAUCAGAGAGCUUCGGAAGCUGAAAAGAAGCAGGGAGUUUCCUAUGGAAAAUGGUCUCGGAGCAUUCUAUUCGAACCUUCCUGGUGUAGGAUAGAACGGGGAUGGGCGUCCGUUAUCACUGCCACGGUAUAAGGGCUUUUCCUGCCCCGUACUUGUUGAGGUAGUUUGUGUGAGCAAGCUAUAAAUUAAGGUGGUACCACGAGCUUAACCCCUCGUCCUUAGA